CAUGAGUGGCGGACGGGUGAGUAACGCGUGGGCAACCUGGCCUGUACAGGGGGAUAACACUUAGAAAUAGGUGCUAAUACCGCAUAACGGGAGAAGCCGCAUGGCUUUUUCCUGAAAACUCCGGUGGUACAGGAUGGGCCCGCGUCUGAUUAGCUUGUUGGCGGGGUAACGGCCCACCAAGGCGACGAUCAGUAGCCGGCCUGAGAGGGUGGACGGCCACAUUGGGACUGAGACACGGCCCAAACUCCUACGGGAGGCAGCAG
rnacentral:rRNA from 1 species